rnacentral:rRNA from 1 species
AGAACAUCGACAUCUUGAACGCAUAUUGCGGCUACGGGGUAUCUCGUGGCCACGCCUGUCCGAGGGUUGGCUUUUCAUUUAUCGCGACGCCCAAAAUGUCGCGGCUUGGAAAUGGUGCCACCUGGCAUAUGUAAUGGCUUGUUUUUCCUAAAUGUGUGUGCAUUUGUGUGUUUUGCAUGCAUAAUAUGGAACUAGUCAAGCGCGCCAGUGUUAAUUAAUAAUGUGGCUCUUUCCUAAUGUGACCAGUCGCAAUCAUGUUCGAAUUGUGUAUUCGAGUGGGAUUGUGGUAGCGGCUUGUGCUCAGGUCGUGGCUUAGUAUAGUGGUUAAUCAUGCCUGAGCCUGCAAGUUGCGACUGCAAUUUAGCUUAAAUACUCCAUGUGGUUUGUCGAAUGUGAAGUGUCGAUUGAUGUUUUGAUACUUGUUGCCUAACCUCGGAUCAGACGUGAAUACCCGCUGAACUUAAGCAUAUCACUAAGCGGAGGAAAAGAAACUAACCAGGA